GUAUAAGGGUGACAUUUCCCCUGCCCUUUAAGGGCCAGUGGGAAUACACUGGCAAAGCUGCCUUUGCAGUAGCUGCUUCUUACAUAUGGCCCAGAGCAUGCUUCCGGCACCAGUGUCUUUGGGAGAGGUGUGAAAAAGAUUUCUCUCUGAGUCCAGGAGAGUGGGCUGUUCGAAUCCUCCUGGAGACAAAAGAAAGAAUUGGUUCCAGUGCCUUUUUCAAUCCUAACAGCUUUCAGAUGACACAUUGGGAGUCAUUUAUACAGCCUUGAAUAUACCCAAAAGUGUUCCUCGCCAAGUCUUCCCACAGUCUACAUGAGCCAAUGCAGAUCACUUUAUUUUAAAAGGUUACAUGUUAUAUAAAACCCACACAAGUAGCUGCCUUAAAUUUUUCUCUAUCCCUGUUGAACUUCUGUGGGGUUUCCUCUAUAUUUUCCAUAUUUAACUAUAGACUAACUAAUUUAUUGUCACCCAUAAAGCAAUGUUUAUUUUAGUAACCCACCUUCCAAAGGUAGCAGCCAUUGGAAGUCCUGCUCAGCUCAUCAAUAAAACCUACUGCUGCUGCCAGUUGACAAGCUAACUAUAAAUUCAAAAGGCAACACUCUAGGGAGUCUAUUUUUCUUUUGACUAGUGUAUCAAACCAAUAUACUGUGCGACUUAUGCCCAAAAAUGUUGCUUUUUUAUUGAUAGAAAACUCUUGGAGUCAUCGUUACAUCUUUCCCUUAACCUAUGGGUCAACUGGAUUUAACACCCUGCUGCAGCUGGACGCUUCAGCAGAACGUGUUUUCUUACUAGUUCAUCUCAGCAACUAGAAAGUCUGCCUUAUACAUAUUUAAAGGUAAGGACUCCUUUAAUUCAGUGUGUCCUGGCACCAAAAGACACCACAAACCUCUGCAGUGAUAGAUUGGAGUGAGGAGAUUUGUUGCUGGCUAUGUCUAGAUUCAAAGUCUUAUUCCACGAACAUCAUUGGAGGGCCCUCUUGUCUCCUUUUAACAAGACGGAGUCUCGCUGUGUCGCCCAGGCUGAAGUGCAAUGGUGUGAUCUCAGCUCACUGCAACUUCCGCCUCCCGGUUUCAAGCAAUUCUCCCUGCCUCAGCCUCCCGAGUAGCUGGAAUUACAGGUACCCACCACCACACCUGGCUAAUUUUUGUAUUUUUUAGUAGAGACAGGGUUUCACCAUAUUCGCCAGGAUGGUCUUGAAUUCCCGACCUCAAGUGAUCCACUCACCUCGGCCUCCCAAAGUGCUGGGAUUACAGGCGUGAGCCACGUGCCCGGCCCUAAACUCAUCUUUGGCAAAACAAAAAGAAAAGGACAAACACACCCUUUGGUCUUAUCUUGGCUGUAGCAAAACAUACCAAGCAGAAUUAAACUUUCAUUUUGUUUAUCUUCAUACCCUCUGCAGGGAGUAACAUGACCUUCAUUACACAUAACAGGUUUUCUCAAAACACCUAGAAAAUGAAUGCAUGUAUCUAGGCCUGUGUGUGUGUGUGUGUGUGUGUGUGUGUGUGUGUGUGUGGUUACAAAGAUGCGAAACCCAGUUAAACUAGUUCAGGAAAAGAUGCUUAUUAUAAUAAUAUAAUAAGCUCAUCAAAAUGGAAUACAACUAAGUCAUAUGCAACC
ensembl:lncRNA